rnacentral:lncRNA from 14 species
AUGAAUUCAGGAGCCAUACUGAAGCACAUUAAGCAGAAGAGACCCAGGAUUAUAGUUUUCUACAGAGUGGCACUGGUAUUUUUGUACUUGCCAUCUCCAAGGAUGGGUUUGGUCCAGCUGCUACAUAGGGGAAAAUGUGUUUUUGUAAACGUUCCUCACUUUGCUGUCAACAAACACCAAAACAGCUCAUUUAAAAGUGCUGAAGAAACCAGAAUGAAGUCCCUAGUGCCUAGAUCAAUAGUACAGGGGCAUUACUGGAUGAUGUGAUCCUACCAGAUUGCAGGGUUUAUUUUGUUAUAACAUUAGAGGACUCGUCAACCCUGAAGGGACUAAGGGAGGGAAGAUGGAGAGGAUGAAAACAACUGGAUGUGCAGCACCGCAGGUUUAAAGCUCCAAGUCCCAGGGCUCUUCACACACAGUGCAUCUGUUUAACAUCCCUGCUGCUUCUGGGUUUCAUCCUGAGACUUGCUCCAGCACCGUGUGUUGGAGAGCAUCCCCCCUGCACCAGCAUUAGGCUUUUCUUAAUGUUCAGAGGGAAACAACAAAAGUUCCCCUUUUCCUUUACAGCUCUUUCACUUUCCGCCUAAUGAAGGUGGAAUAUAAAAUGUUGAAGGAAAAAGCAGUUUUUCCCCUACAGUAGAAUUUCCUUUUCAGUUAUUUUUAAUCUGACAUCUGUUUUAACAUGCACUCACACACUACACUUAAUUUUCUCCCUCCCUUGUGUUUUAUUAUUUACCUCCUGUUCCAAAGAGAUCACAAAAGAUUACACUUCUGUGAAGCAGUAACAGCGAUGGUGACGAUGUCUCUUACUUCUCACAACUUCUUCUUUUACCCUUCUGUUUUAACUUUAUCUAUAUCAUCCUGUUCCUGCCCUCCCAGAGGCCUCAUUACAGUCACUGUCAGAUAGGGUGAUGGCAUUCAGUGGGGUUUGCUGGAACUUUUGUGCUAACUAGAACACAAAGCACUUCUUGUUCAGAGCCUGGAUACUCAUCCUUUGCUCUGGUUCAGUUCAAUGCCUUUAAAUAAGGUAGAGAAAAAAUCAUGCUCUGGGUCAGUCAGCGCCUGUACUUUGAAGAAAGCCCAAGACUCUGCUGAAAGCAGCAGAAAGCAGUGCUGAGACGUGCUUGCUUUCAGCCAGCUUCUGACAUGAUGCCAGCUGAAUGUUUCAUUUCCCCUGGAAAUGAAGAUAACAACCUUAAUCAACUUACGUGUAAUUAAAUUAAAUCAUGGAAAAUACGCUUUCUCCAGCUUCUCCUCAGCUGUUUGCUCAGGUCUGAGCAUCAGAGUGGAGGAAAGAGAAGUUCUCGAUGGACCAAUAACCACUACAGACAGUUUUAGCACUGUCUACCCUCAGGGCNNNNNNNNNNNNNNNNNNNNNNNNNNNNNNNNNNNNNNNNNNNNNNNNNNNNCUAAGAGGCCAUUCUAAGGUGAUGCUUUUACAAUUCAGUGUUUUCAAACACUCCCCAUGAUCUUGGAGAUCCAAAACUGUAAUGACUCAAGAAAGCUUUGCUUUCAGACCAGAUUUUCUGCAGCUUUCAAGACUUAGCAAUCCACAAGAUGUCCCCACUGAUCAAAACAGAGUCAUUUAAAAUCACCAGACUCAUUAGGAAUGGCUAGAGCAUCUUGUUGGCACUCCUCCAUUGCAUCAAUGUUAACUUUCAUUGAAGGAUAUUCAAACAACUUUGUCACACUUCCUCAUGCUAAGUGGUUGCCAUGAGUCCUCAAAGAAGUGGAACGAUCUGUCAGUUGUCUAGAACUGAGGAAAGGUCUCCAUGGUGUAGCUGGUUGGGACCUGACAGUCUCCCAUCACUUGCUUACUCCUGCUUUUAGCGAGUGCAAGGAUUCCUUUCUUGAUGCUUUUCUUUCUUUCUCUUACCACCUCUUAAUUUAUCACAGUUCCUGCAUUCUGGGAUUUUUAAUAAACAUGGCAAACCAGUAAUUUUGCCUAUGGUG